GUUAAGAGAGAAAGAAGUUUCCAGCUGCUGUCAAAAACGAGAACGCCCAUUCAUGGCGGCAGUUGAAUGAUAUUACAGGAUGAUGCGGUCCUCAUCUGAUAUCCGCUGCGGUGGCUGCAAUCAAUCCAUCACGUGGCCGUUGAAGAUGUUGCACGAGAUGAGCCAAACUGUGACGUUCAUUCGGCAUCUACGGCGUGAGGCAAGGUGAGGUGGAGUGUCCGUCUUGUCAGAUGUAGACAUAGUAGGAGCAGGUGCUAAGGCCCAGUCAUUUCCUGUCGUGCGUGAUUGUCUUACUUGAUUUCCUGUGACUGAGACGGAGAAAAUGGGAA